UAAUGAUGGUGAAGGCAAUUUCUUAGCAUACCCUUAAAUCUCUCCCAAGCUUGGUAGAGAUUCUCUCCUUCUUUCUAUCUAAAACUCAAGAUCUCACUCCUCAAGUG
rfam:Capsicum annuum cultivar Zunla-1 chromosome 8, whole genome shotgun sequence